rnacentral:rRNA from 1 species
UGCCAGCAGCCGCGGUAAUACGGAGGGUGCAAGCGUUGCUCGGAAUCACUGGGCGUAAAGCGUACGCAGGCGGUUCGUCAAGUCGGGUGUGAAAUCCCGGAGCUCAACUCCGGAACUGCGCCCGAAACUGGCGGACUUGAAUACGGGAGAGGAAAGCGGAAUUCCUGGUGUAGAGGUGAAAUUCGUAGAUAUCAGGAGGAACACCAGUGGCGAAAGCGGCUUUCUGGCCCGAUAUUGACGCUCAUGUACGGAAGCGUGGGUAGCAAACAGGAUUAGAUA